UACAAUAUAGUGUAGGAGCACGCAAAUUUUUGGAGUUUGAGGGAUAGGUUCAUUACCUUUUUUUGUAG
rnacentral:tRNA from 1 species